CCUACGGGAGGCAGCAGUGAGGAAUAUUGGUCAAUGGACGAGAGUCUGAACCAGCCAAGCAGCGUGAAGGAAGACUGCCCUAUGGGUUGUAAACUUCUUUUAUAUGGGAGUAAAAUGUUGUACGUGAGGGAUAUGGUAUGUACCAUAAGAAUAAGGAUCGGCUAACUCCGUGCCAGCAGCGGCGGUAAUACGGAGGUACCGAGCGUUAUCCGGGAUUAGUGGGUUUAAAGGGGGCGUAGGUGGAUUGUUAAGUCAGUCUUGAAAGUCUGCGGCUCAAACUGGAAAUUGCAUUUGAAACUGGCAGUCUUGAGUGCAGUAGAGGUAGGCGGAAUUCGUGGUGUAGCGGUGAAAUGCUUAGAGAUCACGAAGAACUCCGAUUGCGAAGGCAGCUCACUGGACUGUAACUGACGCUGAGGCUCGAAAGUGUGGGUAUCAAACAGGAUUAGAUACCCUAGUAGUC
rnacentral:rRNA from 1 species